rnacentral:rRNA from 1 species
GACGAACGCUGGCGGCGUGCUUAACACAUGCAAGUCGAACGGAAAGGCCCUGCUUUUGUGGGGUGCUCGAGUGGCGAACGGGUGAGUAACACGUGAGUAACCUGCCCUUGACUUUGGGAUAACUUCAGGAAACUGGGGCUAAUACCGGAUAGGAGCUCCUGCUGCAUGGUGGGGGUUGGAAAGUUUCGGCGGUUGGGGCUGGACUCGCGGCUUAUCAGCUUGUUGGUGGGGUAGUGGCUUACCAAGGCUUUGACGGGUAGCCGGCCUGAGAGGGUGACCGGCCACAUUGGGACUGAGAUACGGCCCAGACUCCUACGGGAGGCAGCAGUGGGGAAUAUUGCGCAAUGGGCGGAAGCCUGAUGCGGCAACGCCGCGUGCGGGAUGACGGCCUUCGGGUUGUAAACCGCUUUCGCCGGUGACGAAGCGGGAGUGACGGUAAUGGGUAAAGAAGCACCGGCUAACUACGUG